rnacentral:rRNA from 1 species
UACGUAGGGGGCAAGCGUUGUCCGGAAUCAUUGGGCGUAAAGAGCGUGUAGGCGGCCUGGUAAGUCCGCUGUGAAAGUCCAGGGCUCAACCCUGGGAUGCCGGUGGAUACUGUCGGACUAGAGUACGGAAGAGGCGAGUGGAAUUCCCGGUGUAGCGGUGAAAUGCGCAGAUAUCAGGAAGAACACCCGUGGCGAAAGCGGCUCUCUGGAACGGUACUGACGCUGAGACGCGAAAGCGUGGGGGAGCGAACAGG